CCCUGACACAGAUUUUAGAUACACCCCUCAUUCACACAUACACAUACUGACAGAUGUCUGAUACACCAUUUAUUCACACAUACUUACAAGGUGCACACAUACAAAUACACUCCCGCAUUCACAUGUACACCGCUCAAACAUUCACAGACUUUCCACAAUAAUACAUACACCAACACUCCCCUGUGUUCAUACACACAAGUCCUCCACAAAAAUACAC